UGGGGAAUAUUGGACAAUGGGGGCAACCCUGAUCCAGCCAUGCCGCGUGAGUGAUGAAGGCCUUCGGGUUGUAAAGCUCUUUUGGCGGGGACGAUGAUGACGGUACCCGCAGAAUAAGCCCCGGCUAACUUCGUGCCAGCAGCCGCGGUAAGACGAAGGGGGCUAGCGUUGUUCGGAAUUACUGGGCGUAAAGCGCGUGUAGGCGGUUGUCCAAGUUGGAUGUGAAAGCCUUGAGCUUAACUCAAGAAAUGCAUUCAGGACUGGAUGACUAGAGGACCGGAGAGGAUAGUGGAAUUCCCAGUGUAGUGGUGAAAUACGUAGAGAUUGGGAAGAACACCAGUGGCGAAGGCGGCUAUCUGGACGGUUUCUGACGCUAAGACGCGAAAGCGCGGGGAGCAAACAGGAUUAGAUACCCUGGUAGUCCACGCCGUAAACGAUGGGUGCUAGACGUUGGCGAGCUUGCUCGUCAGUGUCGCAGCUAACGCGUUAAGCACCCCGCCUGGGGAGUACGGCCGCAAGGUUG
rnacentral:rRNA from 1 species